GAUGAACGCUAGCGGCAGGCCUAAUACAUGCAAGUCGAGGGGUAGAAGAGGCUUGCUUCUUUGAGACCGGCGCACGGGUGCGUAACGCGUAUGCAACCUACCUUCAUCUGGGGGAUAGCCCGGAGAAAUCCGGAUUAAUACCGCAUAAAAUCACAGGAUGGCAUUAUCCAAUGAUCAAACAUUUAUGGGAUGGAGAUGGGCAUGCGUGUCAUUAGCUAGUUGGCGGGGUAACGGCCCACCAAGGCGACGAUGACUAGGGGAUCUGAGAGGAUGGCCCCCCACGCUACUACUGUGACACGAACCAGACUCCUACGGGAGGCAGCAGUAAGGAAUAUUGGUCAAUGGAGGCAACUCUGUACCAGCCGUGCCGCGUGCAGGAAGACUGCCCUAUGGGUUGUAAACUGCUUUGAUUCGGGAAUAAACCUUAUUACGUUUAAUAAGCUGAAUGUACCGAAGGAAUAAGGGUCGGCUAACUCCGUGCCAGCCGCCGCCGUAA
rnacentral:rRNA from 1 species